GGCUACCUAACCAAACCAAGUUAACAAUGUUGGCUACCAAACCAAAGAAACUUUUAUUAGGCACAUGCCUAAUACUUCUUCAAUGAGAUGGACAUCAUCACUGAGAAGAUCAUAAAUAAGGUAAAUAAUCUGAAGGGGAUAUCUAAUCAGGGUGUCGGCAUCACACAUAUAGCAUGUGUGCCGUGGCUGAGAGGGUGGUCAUAGAUCAGCCCUCAACUCUUAUUUCGAAAUUAUCGAACACGGUGACUUAUCGGCUUGGGGCUUUUUUUUUUUUCAAGCUGAGUACAACUUUACCGUUGCUUUAAACCUCUACUUCAACAAAUUAAAAUAAUUUUUUCUUUUCAAGCUGAGUACAACUUUACCGUUGCUUUAA
rnacentral:lncRNA from 1 species